rnacentral:rRNA from 1 species
AUGAAUGUCACACUCAUGCUUAGAUGGAUUUGGAGGGUCAUGCGAGGCGAUGGGGGCUCAUGGCUUCAGAUCAUCCCAGCAAAAUACCUAAGGGGUGAACCCCUGCUGGCAUGCUCCCGCUUUGGAGGAUCCCAGUUUUGGCAAUCCAUCCAAAGGAUCAAGGAGGAUAUUUGUGUAGGAAUCUCCUUCUCUAUAGGUAAUAGGGAUGGGACCCAAUUCUGGCUGGACCCAUGGAUGGGUACCAACCCCCUCAGAAUUGAAUUCCCUAUCCUAUUUUUGAUCUGUGCGAACCCGUGA